rnacentral:piRNA from 1 species
AAGAUGAUUUUGAGGUCAGAUGUUC